rnacentral:tRNA from 1 species
GGGUUUAUAUUGUAAGUUGCAUUUCUUUUUUGCAGGAAGAAAGUUUAUAAUCCA